rnacentral:rRNA from 1 species
UGGGGAAUAUUGCACAAUGGGCGCAAGCCUGAUGCAGCGACGCCGCGUGAGGGAUGACGGCCUUCGGGUUGUAAACCUCUUUCGGCAGGGAAGAAGCGAAAGUGACGGUACCUGCGGAAGAAGCGCCGGCUAACUACGUGCCAGCAGCCGCGGUAAUACGUAGGGCGCAAGCGUUGUCCGGAAUUAUUGGGCGUAAAGAGCUCGUAGGCGGUUUGCCGCGUCUGCCGUGAAAGCCCGGGGCUCAACCCCGGGUCUGCGGUGGGUACGGGCAGACUGGAGUGCAGUAGGGGAGACCGGAAUUCCUGGUGUAGCGGUGAAAUGCGCAGAUAUCAGGAGGAACACCGAUGGCGAAGGCAGGUCUCUGGGCUGUAACUGACGCUGAGGAGCGAAAGCAUGGGGAGCGAACAG